GCUCUAAAAGACCAUAAAAUAAAACAAAUUCAUUUCAAAAAACAUGUUAAAAGUAUUAUUUUUUAUUAUAUUCGCUUUGAUUCCAUUGCCUAUUAACUGCGGACAGAGGGAUUUGAAAUGUGUCGACUGCCGGAAGUACGAGAAGGAUAAGUGCAUAAUCUCAAAAACCGGUUAUGAGUGCUUAGUUUCGGGGAACCUUCGGGCAUCCUAUGGCGGUGGAUGGUUUACGAAAUAUAUUGUUAGCAUUACCACCGACUUGAGUGUAUGCAUUCCAAAAGGCUUGGAAAUACCAGUAGAGGAUAUUGACCAAUGCUGCUUUUGGUCACCUGAGCUUGGAUGCCAAGCGAUAUACGAUCCGGAUAAAGAGGAUAUUGGUUGCGCCGAUUGUAGAAUAGAUGCAUGUCCGUGUGAAUCUGGAAGCACCUACACCAGUGAUUUUUCGAUGGUUUUGUACAUAUUUCUACCGCUCUUGACAAAAAUCUGUGAACUGAUAAGUUGUUGAUUGUGCCCCAAUCGUAAGCCCAUUGGCCGAGGCCAGUAGCAAUGACACGAGUGAUAACGCGAGUAAUAGUGCGAGUGAUUUCUCGAUAAGGUAUAACAACACCGUAUGCUUAGACUGUAGGGAGGAGAAUAAGGGUUGUAAUAUUUCCGAUACCGGAUACGUGUGCAAACUAUCGUCCACAUUUGAUUCUGAAAAUGUUGGUUCAACUACGUUAUCUGAUACUCCGAUAAGUCGCGACUUGGAUGUAUGCCUUCCAGAGGGUUUGGACAUAAAAGAAGAACAUAUCGGUAAUUGCUGCGUUUGGUCACCGAAAAUUGGAUGUCAAAUAUUACAAAGAGAGCGCGAACCCUAUGAAGACUGUUUCUCCUGUUAUCUGAAAUGUCCUUGCGAUUUGAGUGGAUUAUUUUCGCUGGCCACAAUUGUAAGAUCACAUUUAAUAUUGCAGAUAACUACCAGUAUUUUAUGGUUAUCUCAUUGAGGGCCACGAAUCUAAAUUUUAAUUGUUAAGUAAAUUAAACUUUUUUAAAGCAAAUAAAAUAUUUUAAAAAGUUAA